AUUCUGUUUUUUCAUUCAUUGAGUAAACGUCGGACACGUCGCUCGUCGUUAGAGGUGUUUUAUCGCUGUGUGUUACCGUCACAAAAAAAAUAUUUUGCAUGGUUUUUUAUUGUGAAAAGUAAUGUGUGUGUGUUUGUGUUUGAAUGGGAACUAAACGGAGAUAAUAUUUCACUAUUUUGUAUCCUUUGAAUCAACGAAAUUCUGUGUCCUUCAGAUGCAUGGGAUAUAUCAAGUAAUGCAAUUUAUAUUUUUGUGUACCAUGUGCAACAGUUUGUAGGUGUAAUUCGUAUCAUUGUCGUCGUGGUAUUUGUGUUUAAAAAAUUCUUUAUUCUCAGUAAAUCAUGAAGGUUUCUUGAAGAAUGUUGGUUGCAAUAUGCAAAUGUUUGGUGUGUGAUACAUUCGAAUUAAAAAUUGUAAACAUUUUUUUUUUCAAUUUGUAGUGCUUUUUGAAACUCAGUAUGGUACUGAAUGAACAUAAACGAAAUAAUUUAGUGUGACUCGAAUGCUGGGAAGUGAAUUGAAAAUAAAAGAAAAACUAAACUCAAGCCCAGUGUAUUUUAUAUAAAAAUAAAAAAGUUUAAACAAAAGAAAAUGUUGAAUAAAACUGUACGUGUGACCAUAAAUAAAAUAACAUACAAACGAUCAACAGCACAAACAUGAGGAUAUGUGUGUUCAGCAGCGAAAUCAACGGUUUUUUGUACUUAUCACGUAAAAAUCAAACGAAAUUCUUGAUUUUUAUUGAUCGCUUCCAUCGACAAUAUCACUAAAUUUUAUGCAGCUAAAUUAAAUUAGGAUCUCAAAACGAAUCUCAAAGUUAAAUAAAAUUCACAUAAAUAACGAAUUAAAUAAAAAAAGAAAAUUAAAAAUCUCGAAGCCAACUUUAAAAAAAAAAUAUUUAAUUUUAAAUGAGAAAAUAACUGAACAACCAGCUAUUAUACACACAAAACACCAACAACAACAGAAAAAUCAUCAACCCAACAACAUAUCAUCUUUAUCAUCUUAAAUCGUAUUUUUAAUAUUUUUUAUAAAAAAAAUAAUUCAACGACACUCCACCACCUGAACACCUCUCUUAAGCAACGAACAACAGAACCAUGGAUUUUUUAAAUAUCGGAUACUAUUUUGUGAUCAUCUGCAUAUUGAAGACAUACCAAACCGCUGAUAUUGUCAUUGAGAUACCCGGAAAUUUAGGUCAAGACGAUUCGUCCUAUCGACUGGACUACUAUCCACCGUUUGGUAAUCCAGAACCAAAUACAACGAUUGCAUCACGUGAUGUCGGAGACGAGAUACAAUUCUCCAAUGUGUUGGCCGGCACAAAGUAUGAUUUUAACUUAUUUUACACAAACGCUACGCUGCACAACUUUUUGGCCUGGACGGUGUCUAUAACAACAGCACCCGAUCCUCCGUCAAAUUUGUCCGUGUCGGUGCGUAGCGGAAAAACAGCAGUCAUAUCGUGGAGUCCUCCAACACAAGGAAAUUUUACAUCAUUUAAGCUUAGAAUUUUAGGUCUAUCAGAUUCGUUUGCCACAAACCGUACCGUACCGGUUGAAGAUAAUACAUUUCAGUAUCAAGCUAGGGAUUUAAUGCCGGGAGCAACAUAUCAAGUUCAGGCGUACACCGUGUUCGACAAUCGAGAAUCGCUGGCGUAUACAAGUCGAAAUUUCACAACAAUGAAACGUAUUCGACACAAAGACUUACUGGAUAUUAAAAUCUUGAGAGAACCGAAUACGCCUGGCAAAUUCAUUGUUUGGUUUCGAAACGAAACAACCUUAUUGGUAUUAUGGCAACCGCCAUAUCCUGCCGGCAUAUACACACAUUACAAAGUAUCAAUUGAACCGCCCGAUGCACUAGAAAGUGUGUUGUAUGUGGAAAAAGAAGGAGAACCACCCGGUCCAGCGCAAGCAGCCUUUAAGGGACUUGUACCUGGUCGAGCGUACAACAUUUCCGUACAGACAAUGUCCGAGGAUGAGAUAUCACUCCCGACAACAGCUCAGUAUCGUACCGUUCCGUUGAAGCCGAUGAACGUUACAUUCGAUCUUGAUUCCAUAUCAUCGAAUGGCUUCAAAGUGAUGUGGGAAGCACCGAAAGGAAUUUCCGAAUUUGAUAAAUAUCAGGUAUCUCUGUCCACAUCACGGCGGCAACAGUUCUUACCACGAGGAACUGAAAACAGCGCAUCGCUUGAAUUCAAAGAAAGUCUAGAGCCCGGCAAAACAUAUCAAGUCAUUGUGAAAACAGUAUCGGGAAAGGUGACAUCUUGGCCGGCAACUGGUGACGUAAUUUUAAGACCGUUGAAAGUUAUCAAUUUGCGAGCAUUUACUGACAAUAAAUCGGGAUAUGUUACGCUGACAUGGGAUCCAGAUAAGAAUAGUACGCAGGAUGAGUAUAAAAUCAGCUACCAUGAGGUGGAAACAUUCAAUGGAGAUUCAAGCACAAUGAAUACGAACAAAACCAGUAACGUUCUGGAGUCGUUGUUACCGGGCCGAAAUUAUUCACUUACCGUUCAGGCCAUAUCAAAAAAUAUGGAAUCGGAGGAAGCGACAAUCAAUGUGGUUACGCGGCCAUCGUCGCCAAUAAUUGAGGACUUGAAGUCGAUGAAAGAAGGACUGAACAUCAGUUGGAAGAGUGACGUCAAUUCGAGACAAGAAAAGUAUGAGGUCAUGUACGCAACCAAUGAUACUGGAGAGGUCCAUACGAUUUGGACGAAUGAGUCGCGCCUGGUGAUUUCCAAUUUAAGUCCGGGCGCAGGAUAUGAAGUAAAGGUGUUCGCUGUUAGCCAUGGUUUAAGAAGUGAACCGCAUGCCUAUUUUCAAGCUGUGUAUCCGAAUCCGCCGCGUAAUAUGACCAUACAGAAAGUCACCAGUAAUUCGGUGUUGGUCCAUUGGAAUCCACCGAAACAUAGCCAGUUCUCUGAAUAUGCGAUCAGAUAUCGUACGGAGAGUGAGAAACAAUGGGUUCGAUUGCCAUCGGUACGAGACAAUGAAGCCGAUGUGACCGACAUGACACCCGGCGAAAAAUAUACGAUUCAAGUGAACACCGUUAGUUUCGGCGUUGAGAGCCCCAAUCCACAACAGGUCAACCAAACGGUUCGUCCCAAUCCGGUAUCCAAUAUUCUUCCGCUUGCUGAUUCAACGAAUAUAACAUUGGAAUGGCCUAGACCCGAGGGUCGCAUUGAAAUGUAUGUGCUGCAAUGGUGGCCUACGGAUAGAACUAAGGAAAUUUAUACGAAAAAUGUAACCGAAGCCAAUGUUUCUCCGAUCGAUUCAUCGACGAGUGGUAAAAAGGAACCCAUCGUUCGAGUGCUGAUUGGAGACUUAUUCCCGGGAUGGGAGUACAAAUUUCACAUUCACACCGUUUCGUAUAAUCUCAUCAGCGAUAAAACUCAUCUAGCAGCUAGAACUUUGCCUCUGAUCCAGUCGGAGGUGUUAGUUGUCACUAACAAACAUCAACGGGACAUUGUCACUUUAACGUAUACACCAACACCACAACAAUCUUCCAAAUUCGAUCGUUAUCGAUUUUCGUUAGGCGAUCCCGACAUUCCUGACCAGGAGAAAGAUGCUAACGAUGAGCAUCGGAAAGUCACAUUCACUGGACUCGUUCCUGGCCGUUUGUACAACAUAACCAUUUGGACGGUGUCCAUGGAUGUGCAGAGUUUGCCGAUUUUGCGGCAGGAUCGGAUGUAUCCCGAACCCAUUAGUGAACUAAACGCAACACGGAUAACCGACACUGAAAUCACACUAAACUGGGACCAACCGAAGGGAGAAUUCAAUUCCUUCGAAAUACAAUAUCUAAAGACUGAAUCCGAUUCCGACCUAACUUUAAAUUACACCGACAAAAAUACGAUCACUGUGACUGAUCUGAAACCCCAUCGCAACUAUACUUUUACAGUGGUCGUUCGAUCUGGCAUCGAAUCGAGUGUGUUGCGCAGUAGUAUACCGAUAUCGGCGAGCUUCACCACUAAAGAGUCCGUGCCUGGUACGGUGCUCGACUUCGAGCCCAUCGACAUCCAACCGAGUCAAAUAACAUUCCGUUGGACAUUGCCGGCGCACGAGCAAAACGGAGUUAUACGACAAUUUUCGAUAACUUACGGCCUGGAAGGUUCAGCGCACACACAAAACAAAGACUUUAAAUCACUCGAGUAUCAGGGAACAAUUACCGGUUUACUACCUGGCCGUGCGUACUCCUUCCGCAUCCAAGCAAAAACAGCAGUCGGUUAUGGUCCCGAGACGUCGUGGAAGCAAAAGAUGCCAAUCCGUCCGCCACCAAAGCCAGCAUCGCCGAUAGUACCGACCGAAGUGUACCGAAGUUCGUCUUCGAUUCAAAUCCGAUUCCGAAAGAACUAUUUCUCCGACAGCAAUGGACAGGUUAACAUGUACACAAUUAUUGUGGCCGAAGAUGAUACGAAAAAUGCGUCCGGCUUGGAAAUGCCCAGUUGGCGUGAUGUGCAAAAAUACAGUGUCUGGCCACCAUAUCAGGCUAUCGAGCCGUAUUAUCCGUUCCGGAACAACUCUGUCGAAGAUUUUACUAUUGGGGCUGAUGAAUGUGAUGCUCAUCGCAGCGGCUAUUGCAACGGUCCUCUGAAAUCCGGAACAGUUUAUCGCGUCAAGGUUCGAGCAUUUACGGCAUUGGACAAAUUUACCGACACCGACUACAGUUUUCCGAUACAAACUGGUCUUUUAUCAAUGGACCAAGACAAUACGUCCAUAAUCGUAGCUAUAACAGUGCCACUUGCUCUAAUUCUAUUACUACUUGUCACAAUCAUAUUUGUCCGGAGACGACGGAACGGUGGUCGUAAGGCAACGAAAGAAGCGAGGGCUAAUGACAAUAUGUCUUUGGCAGACAGUGUUGUGGAAACGAAUCGUCCAAUAUUAAUUAAGAACUUCGCUGACCACUAUCGCAAAAUGUCUGCCGAUUCCGAUUUUAGAUUUAGUGAAGAAUUUGAAGAAUUGAAACAUGUUGGUCGAGAUCAACCGUGCACAUUUGCUGAUCUACCAUGUAAUCGCCCGAAAAAUCGUUUCACCAAUAUCCUACCGUACGAUCAUUCCCGAUUCAAAUUGCAACCGGUUGACGAUGAUGAAGGAUCCGAUUACAUAAAUGCCAAUUAUGUGCCGGGUCAUAAUUCGCCGCGCGAAUUUAUCGUCACGCAGGGUCCACUACAUUCGACCAGAGACGAUUUUUGGCGCAUGUGUUGGGAGUCGAAUUCUCGUGCCAUUGUAAUGUUGACGCGUUGUUUUGAGAAAGGCCGCGAGAAAUGCGACCAGUACUGGCCGACCGAUAACAAUCCGGUGUACUACGGUGAUAUUAAAGUGCAAUUACUCACCUAUUCGGAGCUGGUUGACUGGGAAAUCACCGAAUUUUCCAUAUGUCGCGGCAGUGAACAGCGAAUAAUUAGACAUUUCCAUUUUACGACAUGGCCAGAUUUUGGUGUGCCAAAUCCACCGCAAACAUUAGUUCGUUUUGUGCGUGCAUUCCGUGAACGAAUUGGCCCCGACCAAAGGCCAAUUUGUGUGCAUUGUUCUGCAGGAGUUGGUCGUUCGGGUACAUUUAUCACAUUAGAUAGGAUACUACAACAAAUUCAAGUUGACAAUUAUGUCGACAUAUUUGGCAUAGUUUGGGCGAUGAGAAAAGAACGAGUAUGGAUGGUUCAAACAGAACAGCAGUAUAUUUGUAUAUAUCAAUGUCUAUUGGCAGUUUUAGAAGGCAAAGAAAACAUAUUUAGUCCGCCCAGAGAGAUUCAUGACAAUCAAGGAUACGAAGUUGUCGGCAAAGCCAAUGGGCAUCUUCCAAUUGAAUCCACAACCAUCGAAGAUACACCGAACCAAUGGAAAGAGGAAAGAUGACACGAACCAAACGAAAACGAUAAUAACAACAUAAUUAUUAUCGUUUCGAAGACGCUAAGCAAAUCAACAAUUUGUGAUGAUCACAACGGUGAUGUAGAACUGAAUGUUGAUGGCACCGAAUGCAACGAUGAAAUUAAUAGUUACAAUGAUGACGACGGCGAUGAUGAUGAUGACGAUGACGAUGAUGAAAAUAAUGAAUGCGAAGAUAGCAUUGUCCAAGUGAAUGGUAUUCAUCAUGACUUUGAUUGUGUUUACCAUUUGAAUGACAACAUUGUGGAAGAAAAUGGUUACAAUGAGGUGGAAAAUCACAAAGAUGAAAAUAUUAUUGAACACCACGACGAAUAUUAUGCGAAUGGUGAUGGGGAUGGUGAUGAGAAAGAAGAAUUUUUGAAGUGUAACGGUGGUGACGGGAUUAUUCUUAAUCACUUUGUUGAUGACGAGGGAAUCGCAGAAUCCGGAAUGUGAUCUACUUUUAAAUUAAUUUAAAUUAAAAUUUGUUAACCUUUAAUUAUGGACAAUAUAAAACACACAUUUUAAUAAAGAAAAAAAAAAGAAAAAUGGAGAGAGAGAGAAAUUAGUAGGUUUUUGUUACAAUGCAGAACUUUAUUAUUAUUAUUUUUCUAGUAUUAUUAGCCUUACGAAAAGGGAAUGAAAGGAAAAAAAGCGAUGAGAUAAUAGAGAGUGAGCGAGGAAGAACCACACACAUUACCACAUUACCUACUUUAUUGUAUUAAUUAUAUAUAAAAAAGAAAAUUUGUAAUUUUGUUAGAAUUCUCAUGAGAAGUUGAAAUUAUUUUAUUUGUUUUUUUUUAUUACUUUUUUUGUUGUUUUAUUUUUAUUAUUUCUUUUUACAAAAAAUAUAUAAUUCUUACGUUGACAUACAAUUUGGAGGCGAGAAAAUAACGUUUGACGGAACACAAAUACAAUCGAAUAGGGUCAGUUCUCUACAUAAGCUUAGUAAUUUCAUUGGACAGUAGUAAUGAAAACUGAA